UUUUCUACUUCUAUAUAUUCUUACUUUAUAUAUUUAUUAAAUGAUUUAGGCUUCUAUCUUUUCGAAAUACGAAAUUUUCGUACUUAUAAGUUUUUUUUGAUGAUGGGAUAUUCGAUUCGGUUGUCGAUUAUAUUAGAUAUAAUCUACGCUAUUGAAACUAUUUAAAAAUCAAAUUUUAUAAUUUUUUAACUUCAUUUGUCGAGUAAACGAGUAGUCUUAAAAGUAACGACUGAAAAUAAAAAUCACAUAAAAAAAAGUCAUAGAAGACUCAAAUUUUAAAUCAGAACUAUUGAUCUUACUAUUGAUAUUAAAUAGAAUUUUCUAUAAUUUGAAUUGUUGUGCACCGUUGAACUUAAAAACGUGCUACAUCAACCAUUAAAAUAGUCAUUUGUUAAAUCUUUUAAUCGUUUAGUAAAUAAUGUCGACAAAUUAUGAAAUUUAAUUUCUAAAUAGUUGCAAUAGUAUAGAUUAUGCCUAACGAAACAAAUCGUCGAAUAGGAUGUUCUAUCAUUAAGAAUAAUUUAUAAAUACAUAGACCACCGUACUUUUGAAAGCACAGAAAACGUACUCUUUUUUAUAUUAUAUUUAUAUAGAAAAAAAAAGAAAAACUUCAAAUACAUCUCUGUAGUUUCACACUUUCUUACUUUAAUACUUUGUGAUUUAUAAUGUAUCAAUUUAGUGUCCUGUAAUUUUAUUUUUAUUUUUUUAUUAUCAAUUUUACUAAUUUUUUUUUAUUAAAUCAGCUAUAAAGUUAAAACUAAAGAAUAUUAAAAUAAAUAUUCGAUAAACAUAUAUAGAGUAUUUAAAGUUUUGUAUAUAAUUUAAUGAAAUUUCAGAAAAAUUGAU
rnacentral:lncRNA from 1 species